rnacentral:rRNA from 1 species
GGGUAACCUGCCUGUAAGACUGGGAUAACUCCGGGAAACCGGGGCUAAUACCGGAUGGUUGUUUGAACCGCAUGGUUCAAACAUAAAAGGUGGCUUCGGCUACCACUUACAGAUGGACCCGCGGCGCAUUAGCUAGUUGGUGAGGUAAUGGCUCACCAAGGCAACGAUGCGUAGCCGACCUGAGAGGGUGAUCGGCCACACUGGGACUGAGACACGGCCCAGACUCCUACGGGAGGCAGCAGUAGGGAAUCUUCCGCAAUGGACGAAAGUCUGACGGAGCAACGCCGCGUGAGUGAUGAAGGUUUUCGGAUCGUAAAGCUCUGUUGUUAGGGAAGAACAAGUACCGUUCGAAUAGGGCGGUACCUUGACGGUACCUAACCAGAAAGCCACGGCCAACUACGUGC